rnacentral:rRNA from 1 species
GACGAACGCUGGCGGCGUGCUUAACACAUGCAAGUCGAACGGAAAGGCCCCUUCGGGGGUACUCGAGUGGCGAACGGGUGAGUAACACGUGGGCAACCUGCCCCUAACUCUGGGAUAACUCCGGGAAACCGAAGCUAAUACUGGAUAUUAACCUUUGCAGGCAUCUGCGAUUGUUGAAAGUUUUUCGGCUAGGGAUGGGCCCGCGGCCUAUCAGCUUGUUGGUGGGGUAACGGCCUACCAAGGCAACGACGGGUAGCCGGCCUGAGAGGGCGACCGGCCACACUGGGACUGAGACACGGCCCAGACUCCUACGGGAGGCAGCAGUGGGGAAUAUUGCACAAUGGGCGAAAGCCUGAUGCAGCGACGCCGCGUGAGGGAUGACGGCCUUCGGGUUGUAAACCUCUUUCAGCUCUGACGAAGCGCAAGUGACGGUAGGAGCAGAAGAAGCACCGGCCAACUACGUGCCAGCAGCCGCUGUAAUAC